CAGUCUGAUGGCCUGGAGAUAGAAGCUGUUUACCAGUCUGAUGGCCUGGAGAUAGAAGCUGUUUAUCAGUCUGAUGGUCUGGAGAUAGAAGCUGUUUAUCAGUCUGAUGGCAUUGAGAUAGAAGCUGUUUAUCAGUCUGAUGGCCUGGAGAUAGAAGCUGUUUAUCAGUCUGAUGGCCUGGAGAUAGAAGCUGUUUAUCAGUCUGAUGGCCUGGAGAUAGAAGCUGUUUAUCAGUCUGAUGGCCUGGAGAUAGAAGCUGUUUACCAGUCUGAUGGCCUGGAGAUAGAAGCUGUUUACCAGUUUGAUGGUCUGGAGAUAGAAGCUGUUUAUCAGUCUGAUGGCCUGGAGAUAGAAGCUGUUUAUCAUUCUGAUGGCCUGGAGAUAGAAGCUGUUUAUCAGUCUGAUGGCCUGGAGAUAGAAGCUGUUUAUCAGUCUGAUGGCCUGGAGAUAGAAGCUGUUUAUCAGUCUGAUGGCCUGGAGAUAGAAGCUGUUUAUCAGUCUGAUGGCCUGGAGAUAGAAGCUGUUUAUCAGUCUGAUGGUCUGGAGAUAGAAGCUGUUUAUCAGUCUGAUGGUCUGGAGAUAGAAGCUGUUUACCAGUCUGAUGGUCUGGAGAUAGAAGCUGUUUAUCAGUCUGAUGGCCUGGAGAUAGAAGCUGUUUAUCAGUCUGAUGGUCUGGAGAUAGAAGCUGUUUAUCAGUCUGAUGGCCUGGAGAUAGAAGCUGUUUAUCAGUCUGAUGGUCUGGAGAUAGAAGCUGUUUAUCAGUCUGAUGGCCUGGAGAUAGAAGCUGUUUACCAGUCUGAUGGCCUGGAGAUAGAAGCUGUUUAUCAGUCUGAUGGCCUGGAGAUAGAAGCUGUUUAUCAGUCUGAUGGCCUGGAGAUAGAAGCUGUUUAUCAGUCUGAUGGCCUGGAGAUAGAAGCUGUUUAUCAGUCUGAUGGUCUGGAGAUAGAAGCUGUUUAUCAGUCUGAUGGCCUGGAGAUAGAAGCUGUUUACCAGUCUGAUGGCCUGGAGAUAGAAGCUGUUUACCAGUCUGAUGGCCUGGAGAUAGAAGCUGUUUACCAGUCUGAUGGUCUGGAGAUAGAAGCUGUUUAUCAGUCUGAUGGCCUGGAGAUAGAAGCUGUUUAUCAGUCUGAUGGCCUGGAGAUAGAAGCUGUUUAUCAGUCUGAUGGCCUGGAGAUAGAAGCUGUUUAA
rnacentral:lncRNA from 8 species